GGUGGCUCCAUGGUAGAGUGCUUGCCUUAUAUGCAUGAGGUCCUGGGUUCAAUUCCCCAGCACCA
rnacentral:tRNA from 1 species